rnacentral:rRNA from 1 species
AUGAGCAUCAAUAUCCAACAACAACAAAUCCAACUGUUAAAGAGAAUAACAAUAAUGCAUAUGCCAGUUGUGAACUGCAACCAGAACGCCAAGAAUGGUGAUGGCACCAUGAAGUUAGUGAAAAGUCAGGUACAAUGCAGUUUAAGGGACUUCUGGAACUGCAAGACGUCUCAAUCUCACUUUGUAAAGGCGACAUCUCAAUUACCCAUGGAACCAAAAGGGAAUCUGCCUGACCAGGGCGGCGUGCACCACGACGAGCACGAAGCCGAUGAGCAGCGACGUGAGGAUGUUGGUGGUGGCGCCGAGGACGAUGGGCUCGUCGUGGAGGAAGUAGAGGACGAGCCAGCCGACCAUGCAGACGAGGAAGACGAUGAGGGAGAUGGGCUGCCAGAGGAGGGAGAGGAAGACGACGACGAGGACGACGAUGGCGUAGUUCAUGGCGAAGUGGGCGAGGUUGGCGCGCACGCGCAGGUGUAG